UGUAGUCGAGGGGGCAGCAAUGUCACCGGCGAACGGGUGCGUAACGCGUAUGCAACCUGGCCAUAUCAGGGGGAUAGCCCUAGGAAACUGGGAUUAAUACCGCAUAAUACAGAGACCGGCAUCGAUCUCUGUUGAAAGAUUUAUUGGAUAUGGAUGGGCAUGCGUAGGAUUAGUUAGUUGGUGGGGUAACGGCUCACCAAGGCGAUGAUCCUUAGAGGCUCUGAGAGGAGUAUCCCCCACACUGGCACUGAGAUACGGGCCAGACUCCUACGGGAGGCAGCAGUAGGGAAUAUUGGGCAAUGGAGGCAACUCUGACCCAGCCAUGCCGCGUGCAGGAAGACGGUCCUCUGGAUUGUAAACUGCUUUUGAAUGGGAAGAACCGCACUUUUGCGAAAGUGUUUGACGGUACUAUUAGAAUAAGCACCGGCUAACUCCGUGCCAGCAGCCGCGGUAAUACGGAGGGUGCAAGCGUUAUCCGGAUUUAUUGGGUUUAAAGGGUGCGUAGGCGGCUUUAUAAGUCUUGGGUUAAGGGCAGCAGCUUAACUGUAUGCAUGCCCCAGAUACUGUAGAGCUUGAGUGACCUGGAGGUAGCUGGAAUUCCCUGUGUAGCGGUGAAAUGCAUAGAUACGGGGAGGAAUACCGAUUGCGAAGGCAUGUUACUACGGGUAAACUGACGCUGAUGCACGAAAGCGUGGGGGAUCAAACAGGAUUAGAUACCCUGGUAGUCCACGCCGUAAACGAUGAUUACUAGUUGUUGGACGCUAGU
rnacentral:rRNA from 1 species